rnacentral:misc_RNA from 1 species
CUGAGUUUAUACAAACUCCCAAACCCACUGUGAACCUUACCUCUUGUUGCUUCGGUGGGACAGCCCCGGGCCCCUUUGGAGGCCCGGAACCAGGCUCCCGCCGGAGGCCCCCAAUACUCUUGUGUUUCCUCCCGUCUGGGAUGUAUUCUGAGUGGCCCAUAGCGGGCAGAAAACAAUCAAAUGAAUCA